CAGCACUCACUUACGUGCGCCGAUCCUUUGCACCAGCGCAGUCAGCUGAAUGACUGUGUAGGGAGCGCUUUCAGAAUGAUCGACCUCUCUGUCUUGGGAGUAGGGUAGGUGUUACGGGGUAUCACCUCAGUGUUUUAUCAGUUAGGAGAUAGUCUCUAUAGAAAGGUGUUACGGGGUACCACCUCGGGGUUUCGUCAGUUAGGAGAGUCUCUAUAGAAAGGUGUAUGUGUCGUGGGUAAAGGCACCUGCUGAACAAGCUUGAUGGUUAGGGUUCCAUCCCAGGUACUCCUGGUAGAAGGAGAGAACACUCCUGGGUUUUGUCCUCUGACCCCCACUUAUGUGGUGUGGCGUGCGUUCACACAGGCACCUACAGAAAGGUGGUCAUGAGCAUUUUCCCUCUUCUCCCUCAGUUUCAUUGUCCAGCAGAAGCCACCUCUUUGUCAGCUGUGGUAGGACGAGCCUGUAAUCCCAGCACUUGGGAGGUGUAGUCAGGAAGAUAAGGAGUUCAAAUUCAUCUCCAGCUAGAUAGUGAUGUGGAGGCCACCCUGAGCUACAUGGCACCCUAGCGCCAAAAGAAAAAGAAAAAAGACAUACAGUUGGAGAUGUCAGGUAGGCAGUAGUCUGUGAGUCUGCAGUUUGGAGAAAAUGGUAGGGCUGUUAAUUUGGGAGCCUGCAACAGAAGGUAUCUGAGAACAAAAAUGAGGUAGAGAAAGAGAGAGCAUGAGCUCGCUGAUGAGCUGAGAGGAGAGGGGCCUGAGGUCUGGGCCAUGUCACUCCAGAGGGGGUUAAAACCAGAUUCACAGAGGUGCCGAGGAAUGACCAGCGUUGGAGGCAUUGCCAGUCUAAUUAAGGUGGUCUGAGAAAGACACAGGUGCAGGACGAGGAUCUGGACCAGACUGGUUUCAGUGCUCUGCUGAGGAACAGCCUCAUGUUGAGGUCAGGAGAUGGGAAGAAAGAAACUGCAGGAUUAAGUGGGAAGGAAGGAAGGAAGGAAGGAAGGAAGGAAGAAGAAGGAAGGAAGGAAGGAAGGAAGGAAGGAAAGUUAAGUUAGUUACAGGGAGCUGUAGUGAAGAGAUUAUUGUUGUUGUUAGGGGAAUUAUGAGACUGCUUUAACAGUGGGUGGGGAUGAAGGAGAAGGGCUGGAGUGACAACACUGGAGAGGGGAAGCUCAGCUUAACCGACCCUUGAUGGGGUCCAUGGUGAACGUGUUUGCCUAUGACACAGCUUAAGGCUGUGUGACCUUGGGAGGACCAAGCAAUUCUAUGUGUAUGUGCUGGUAUGCAUUGCAUGCAUGUGCAGGUGCAUGCAGAAGCCAGAGGACACCUUGAGCUUUGCUACUUGGGAGCUGUCUGUCCUUUGAGACAGUCUCUGGUUGGCCUGAAGCUUGCCAAGGAGGCUGGAUGGCUGUCACAGCAUCCGUGUGCACAUUCCAGCUGAUGGGUCACUACACACGCAUACAUAUAUACACACAUACAUAUAUAUACGCGCUCACACACACAUACACACACACACACACACACACACACACACACACACAGCUCCACGCCUGAGUCUGUACCCAGGGCCUUGAGUUUACUGGCUCAGUUGUUUCCCCA